rnacentral:rRNA from 1 species
UACAGAGGUCCCAAGCGUUGUUCGGAUUCACUGGGCGUAAAGGGUGCGUAGGUGGUGAGGUAAGUCUGAUGUGAAAUCCCUCGGCUCAACCGGGGAACUGCGUCUGAGACUGAUGAGCUCGAGUGCAGGAGAGGAACGCGGAAUUCCAGGUGUAGCGGUGAAAUGCGUAGAUAUCUGGAGGAACACCGGUGGCGAAGGCGGCGUUCUGGACUGCAACUGACACUGAGGAACGAAAGCCAGGGGAGCAAACGGG